UACGGAGGGGGCAAGCGGUGUUCGGAAUUACUGGGCGUAAAGGGCGUGUAGGCUGCCUUUCAAGUUGGGGGUGAAAUCCCAGGGCUCAACCCUGGAAUUGCCUUCAAGACUGUGAGGCUUGGAUCCGAGAGAGGAGUGUGGAAUACCCAGUGUAGAGGUGAAAUUCGUAGAUAUUGGGUAGAACACCAGUGGCGAAGGCGGCACUCUGGCUCGGUAUCGACGCUGAGGCGCGAAAGCGUGGGGAGCAAACAGG
rnacentral:rRNA from 1 species